UACAGAGGGGGCAAGCGUUGUUCGGAAUUACUGGGCGUAAAGGGCGCGUAGGCGGCCUGCUAAGUCGAACGUGAAAUCCCCGGGCUUAACCCGGGAACUGCGUCCGAUACUGGUGGGCUUGAAUCCGGGAGAGGGAUGUGGAAUUCCAGGUGUAGCGGUGAAAUGCGUAGAUAUCUGGAGGAACACCGGUGGCGAAGGCGGCAUCCUGGACCGGUAGUGACGCUGAGGCGCGAAAGCUAGGGGAGCAAACGGG
rnacentral:rRNA from 1 species